rnacentral:lncRNA from 10 species
CUUUAUAAAAACGGAGACGUGACGGUGGGGACGUGACCACAGCACUAAUCUCACCACACAUCACACCAUCAGAAGCGUCCAGUCCAGAAUAAUGGGACAGCCUACGAAGAUACAUCUGCUGGGCCAGCUCAGAGGUUCUGGCUCACGGGAUGAUGAAGAUAUGAAAAUUUGACUAUGGCACUGACAAGCCCAGAUGGCACCUCCAGGAGCUCCCCAUGCCCUCCUCUGUGAGUCUCAAGCUUCUGUUGGGCUGCUGCUUCCCUAGCUUUCUGAAUCAUUCCGCAUGCCAGGGCAACGGUUUAUUCUCAUGCUAUGUUGUUGCAUUAUUAUACCAAGAAUCUAGAUCUUUAACUGAUAUGGGUUUCUUAAAAAAUUGCAUCUCCAUCAGACGUGGUGACUCACGCCUGUAAUCCUAGCACUUUGGGAGAUUGAACAGGUGGAUCACUUCAGUCCAGGAGUUCGAGACCAGCCUACACAGCAUGGUGAAACUCCUUCUCUACAAAAAAAUACAAAAAUUAGUUGGGCAUGGUGGUGCAUGCCUGUAAUCCCAGCUACUUGGGAGGCUGAAGUGCGAGGAUCACCUGAGCCGGGGAGGUCAAGGCUGUGGUGAGCCGUGAUUGUGCCACUACACUCCAGCCUGGGUGACAGAGUGAGACCCUGUCUCAAAAAAAUAAAAAAAUAAAAACACACAUAAUAAAUAAAUGCAUCUCUGU